UUCAUUGUUUCUUGCCUCUGAUUUUCACUGAAUAACCUAAGACCGCCUUGAGAUCCUGAGAGUCCAAAAGAAAACCCAAUUAAAACAAUCUCCAGGGUAUUCCACCCAUCUCGACUCGAGGAAAAGUCCCAAACCUAGGAGAUGGAACUACAGUGACCACAGUUAGGUGACUUUUAAUAUCCACAUUCCUUCCACACUCUCGUAAUUCUGGCCCAACUACCUACUAACUGUGGGACCAUGUGCUUCACUUUCCUCCUCCAUAAAAUGGGGACGAUAAUACUUUCUUCAUCAGGUUGGUGUGAAAAUUAAAUGAGUUAAUACAUGCACAGCACUUAGAACAGUAUCUGGUACAGAGUAAGUGCUCAAAGAAUGUUAGCUAUUAAUAUUAUUACUAUUAGCAUUUGCAAAAAACAUUACAUAGGGACGCAAAUACAGGAGGCUUCUACUGUAUUGGUAAUGUUUUACUGCGUUAACAAAAAAUCUAAAAUUAGAACCAUCAAUACAAAAAUAUAAAAUGGUCUUGGGAAAAGAAAAAAAAAGCCACUCAGAGUCAUGCCACCUGUUGGGGAGUUUCAGGUGAGGGUACACCUCGGAGCAGCUGUGGAAUCCCGUUCCACGGCUGCUCUGUAUUUCCCUUAUAUGAUGCCUCCACUUCUGCUGCGGUUCUUAAUCAGCGUUUCAUGGGCAGGAUUACGGGCGGGUCCGUGAACCCCCUGAAACUGUACACGGAACUGGGUGGGGCUGCGGCUCUGGGCAUUUUGCAGGCAAGAGUUCUAUAGCUUUUCUCACGCUCUAAUAAAUGAUCUUGUAGGGAGCAACUUGCUUUACAGGGUUAAACACAGGAGAUAGGGACUGAACAAUUCAUUUCACGGAAGCUACGGCAGUAAACAGGACACCUGGGCUGUCAAUCUGCUAUCUCAACACGAGACCCGGCGCCGCGAGGGGCAAGAGCCGGCCGGGCAGUGACCUUCACCGUCGAAAAUCUCACCGGCUCCCCAGACCCGACUCGGGUUUGCCGGGUUUAACUUCCCCUCCCUUCCCCCAUCCCUCGUUCUCUUCCAAGAAUAAACUCAAAGGAAAUCAGCAGCGCUUCGUCUAGGGUUUCACUCCUGCCCUCGGCUGACACUUAAACCACUUCUCCAAGGGAAGUUAAUUAAAACAACAAUUAAUCCGCACAAAAAUCCACCCCCAAAGCUCGAGAACUCUCAAAGUUAGAAGACUGAGGCGCCGCUGCUGAUGGUGAACAUCUGCCGGUCGCUGGGGCUCACGGGUAGGCGGCGGGUACGAAAGGGAAGCAGCCAAGGUCCGGCCGGAGGGUCGGACGCUGGCCACCCUCCGCGAGUCUACGCGCUACCGACGCCGGUGAAGACUGGCUUGGAGGCAGCCAGGUAAGCAGCUCUCAGGUCUACCUUGGGAAUGCACAUUCAAGUUGUGUAUUCAGCUUGAAUCCUUCCUUCGCAAGGGAUAUUGCAGGAUGGCUCUAAAGCCCAGUAUUGAAGUCUGGAGGUUGAUGGUUCCACAGGUGGUCCAAGCGGCUCCAAGAUGUCAAGCUCGUGAACUGCCUAGUUGACCAGCAUGCAGGAGAGGUACCCAGAGGAUUCAGCACAGCUGAUGCCAAACCAUUCCAUUAAGCACACUUGGAGACAGAAGAGCUAUGCAUUCAAUUCUGUCCUUGCUGCUGUCCCCCGACCUCCUGCAGCCUCAGCCGUACAGCCAAAGCUUUCUGGAGACUGGGAAGAUUGCCCUCCAAAUUCUCAGGAGUGCCGGGGGAAAGUCCUAAAUCAAAUGCCUAGCUAUCCUUACGCAGGUGAAACUAAUGGUAUUGAUGGGAAAGAGGAGUGAUGAUCAAGAGAAGCAAAAGAGAGACAGGAAAAAAUAUAUAAAGAAUUGAGGAAGGAAAAAUCAAAGAAAGAUAGAGAGCUGCAAAAUGGACUUAAAUAUUUUUUAGUGAUGGGUCAAUCUGCCUGAUAAGCUCAAAAAAUUCUCCCCAAACUCAGAGGAAAAGGAAAAAAAUUAUGAGAGAUAAGAUAUGAGACAGAGGGACUUCCCUGGUGGACCACUGGUUUAGAAGCCACCUUCCAAUG